rnacentral:rRNA from 1 species
UACGGGGGGGCAAGCGUUGUUCGGAAUUACUGGGCGUAAAGGGCUCGUAGGCGGCCAACUAAGUCAGACGUGAAAUCCCUCGGCUUAACCGGGGAACUGCAUCUGAUACUGGAUGGCUUGAGAUUGGGAGAGGGAUGCGGAAUUCCAGGUGUAGCGGUGAAAUGCGUAGAUAUCUGGAGGAACACCGGUGGCGAAGGCGGCAUCCUGGACCAACACUGACGCUGAGGAGCGAAAGCCAGGGGAGCAAACGGGG